AAAAAAAACAACAACAACAACCAAAUGUUCAAUUUUAUUGUUGUCUUUUCAUAAAACUAUUGUCCACCCAUACACUUAGUGAUACAGUUUAUACUUCUUGCGCUGGCAAACUGAUGAAAGUACAAUGUGUUUUUACCCCACCUUUGAGCCAAGUUGCUCUAGAUUUUUGUCCAAAUGAGAUCUCUUUGCUUGUGAGGAUAUUACUGAAUUCCAGCUUGAGCAAGCCUCUAUUGUACUGGAAUCCUAAUGCACAAGACGGGCAAUGUCAGCAAUUUGGCCUCCAAAUGAACAGCAAGCACUUCUUUUCUUCGCAUCAACAUCUAGAAAGUCCUUUAGUUGUUGAGUCCUUUAUUGCUGAUGUAAGGAGUUUCCUUUAACAUCAUUCCCUUAUCAAGGACUACCAUCUAAUUGUCCAAAGGAAGUGGUACCUACAUUGGAAAUCUAAGGUGAGUUCCAGUUGACAUAUCACGUGUGAUCUUUCAUGCGAGGGGUUGAUGUUUGUGGCUACAUGAUGACCUAAACAAGGCUGCUUCUGUUCCAUCUGAGGUCUUCCUGAUUGUCAAAGCGGUGAAAUCAAUCAGGUGAUCACUCUCCUGGAUAUGAGGGCUCAAAGGAUGAGUCUGCAACUUGUCUGCUUUGUCAUCUCUAGCUUAAUUUUGCCUUCAGACAAUAUAUCAUGAUGAUGCAUUGUCUGGUCGACAGCCUAUUGUAAAACUUGUGCAGAAUUACCAUUUAAAAGAUGACCCCAAAAUUGCUGGAAGAAGGCUAAGAUGUUGAUUUUGGCAGCAUUUGGUGGUGAUGAGUUGUGUUGUUUGAAGAAGAUCCUCCCUGAAGCAAACAAACAAAAUGACAAGGACUCAUGAAGCUAGUGGAACUACUUGUUGCAGAAAUUCAGUCGAGAAGCUGACACAAAUGACGGUUAGCUCUGGAAGACAACCAGUGAGGCCAUCAGCCACUAGCGUGGAGAAGGCAAUGAGAGUG